GGCGGGGAAAAAGGCGGGAAAGGCGUCGAGCGAGGCGGCGCGUGGCGGCCGCCAUUCCCUCGCGGCCCUGUGAGGAACCGUGGCUGCCCUCCGCCCCUUCAGCCUCUUCUGGGCUCGCGUUAGGGUUUCAGGGCUGUUUAGCGCUGCGUUUGUUUUUUUUUUUUUUUUAUUUUAGUGUCCGUUCUUUUUGCUGCUGUGGUGAUGCCUGCUUUUGCCCUGCUUUCCUCGUUCUUUUGAGGGUUGGGCUUGUUGUUGUGAAGUGAAAAUGCACAUAUAGUUCUUACCCUUCAUCUAACGAUAGGGUCAUAGGCCACCACAGCACGUGGGUCAGCGGGGCUUUUAAAGAAAGGCUUCCCCCCACUGUGUGCAAUGGGAAUUUCUUGCCAAGGUUUGAGGAAGAUUGGUAAGGUUUUUCAAGGCAAAGCCUUGCUUUAAACCUUUUGAAAAAGGAUUAUAAAGCAAAUCUGUCUUACAGCCGCCAUUCGGGGGUUUUAAUAAAGCUUAAAGGAGUACCUACAAGGAGGUUACGAAGGAAGUUGCGUCAAGCAUUUCACAGUGAUAGAUGGCAGGAGGGAUGUGAAACAGAAGUCAAAACGGGAGAUCUAGACUUGUUAUAAAAUGAGCUUUCACCAUGAUGACAGUCAAGCAUUCAAACAGGCUGCCCAGAGAGGCUUCGCAGUCUCCAUCCUUGGCAGUUUCCAAAGCCUGUUUGGAUAAAGUCCUGAGCAACCUUGGCAGAUCACGCAGGUGACCCUGCUCUGACAGGAGGCCGGACCCGAUGACCUCCUGAAGUUCCUUCCAGCCCAAAUUACUGGUACAGAGAGAUAAUUGAACAAAAGACUUGAAAAUCAAGGAUAAGAUUCACUCCAUACAACAGAGCGUGAGAGUAUGAAUGAGCAUAAAGGGCUCAAAUCGCUGGGAAAAAAAACGAGUCGGGGAGAAAGAAAAAGAAGUGAAUAAGCUAAAAAAAAAAAAAGCAGGUGACAAUGAGGAGAAGUGAUGGAGUAAAGGAAAAAUCUAAAACUGCAUUUGCAGUCUGGACCUUGCAGGAAAUAACAGGUGGGAGAUAAUCCUUUGGAGGACAGAUUCUGCUACCAAUGGAAAGAGGCUAUUACAAAUGGGCCUAGCAUGCUCGCUAUUCGUGUUCCAGAGCCACUGCAAAAUUCC